UACGAAGGGAGCUAGCGUUGUUCGGAAUCACUGGGCGUAAAGCGCACGUAGGCGGACGUGUCAGUCAGGGGUGAAAUCCCGGAGCUCAACUUCGGAACUGCCUUUGAUACUGGCGGUCUCGAGUCCGGGAGAGGUGAGUGGAACUGCGAGUGUAGAGGUGAAAUUCGUAGAUAUUCGCAAGAACACCAGUGGCGAAGGCGGCUCACUGGCCCGGUACUGACGCUGAGGUGCGAAAGCGUGGGGAGCAAACAGG
rnacentral:rRNA from 1 species